rnacentral:rRNA from 1 species
UACGUAGGUGGCAAGCGUUGUCCGGAUUUACUGGGCGUAAAGAGCGCGCAGGCGGUCGUUCAAGUCGCGUGUGAAAGCCCCCGGCUCAACUGGGGAGGGUCACGCGAUACUGAUCGACUCGAAGGCAGGAGAGGGAAGUGGAAUUCCCGGUGUAGCGGUGAAAUGCGUAGAUAUCUGGAGGAAUACCGGUGGCGAAGGCGGCAUCCUGGACCGGCAUUGACGCUGAGGAGCGAAAGCCAGGGGAGCAAACGGG